rnacentral:rRNA from 1 species
CACGUAGGGCGCAAGCGUUGUCCGGAAUUAUUGGGCGUAAAGAGCUCGUAGGCGGUCUGUUGCGUCUGCUGUGAAAACUCGGGGCUUAACCCCGAGCCUGCAGUGGAUACGGGCAGACUAGAGGUAGGUAGGGGAGAAUGGAAUUCCAGGUGUAGCGGUGAAAUGCGUAGAUAUCUGGAGGAACACCGGUGGCGAAGGCGGCAUCCUGGACCGGCAUUGACGCUGAUGAGCGAAAGCUAGGGGAGCAAACGGG